GCCCGGGUGGCGGAAUUGGUAGACGCGCUAGAUUCAAAAUCUGGUGUCAGCGAUGGCGUGGGGGUUCGAGUCCCCCCCCGGGUA
rnacentral:tRNA from 1 species